UACGGCUAUAUUACGUUGAAACACCGGUUCUCGUACGAUCAACAAAGUUAAGCAACGUCGAACCCGGUCUGUAUUUAGAUGGGUGACCACUUAGGAAUACCAGGUACUGUAAG